GGCCCAUUCGUCUAGUGGCCUAGGACACCGCCCUCUCACGGCGGCGGCACGGGUUCGAAUCCCGUAUGGGCCU
rnacentral:tRNA from 6 species